UAACGCGUUAAGUAGACCGCCUGGGGAGUACGGUCGCAAGAUUAAAACUCAAAUGAAUUGACGGGGGCCCGCACAAGCGGUGGAGCAUGUGGUUUAAUUCGAUGCAACGCGAAGAACCUUACCUACUCUUGACAUCUACAGAAGCUUGCGGAGACGCGAGUGUGCCUUCGGGAACUGUAAGACAGGUGCUGCAUGGCUGUCGUCAGCUCGUGUUGUGAAAUGUUGG
rnacentral:rRNA from 1 species